rnacentral:rRNA from 1 species
AACGAACGCUGGCGGCAUGCCUAACACAUGCAAGUCGAACGAGACCUUCGGGUCUAGUGGCGCACGGGUGCGUAACGCGUGGGAACCUGCCCUUAGGUUCGGAAUAACUCCCCGAAAGGGGUGCUAAUACCGGAUAAUGUCUUCGGACCAAAGAUUUAUCGCCUUUGGAUGGGCCCGCGUUGGAUUAGCUAGUUGGUAGGGUAAAAGCCUACCAAGGCGACGAUCCAUAGCUGGUCUGAGAGGAUGAUCAGCCACACUGGGACUGAGACACGGCCCAGACUCCUACGGGAGGCAGCAGUGGGGAAUAUUGGACAACGGACGAAGGCCUGAUCCAGCAAUGCCGCGUGAGUGAUGAAGGCCUUAGGGUUGUAAAGCUCUUUUACCCGGGAUGAUAAUGACAGUACCGGGAGAAUAAGCUCCGGCUAACUCCGUG